UUGACCUCGGAUCAAGUAGGACUACCCGUUGAACUUAAGCAUAUCAAUAAGCGGAGGAAAAGAAACCAACAGGGAUUGCCCCAGUAACGGCGAGUGAAGCGGCAACAGCUCAGAUUUGGAAUCUGGCCCCUAGGGCCCGAGUUGUAAUCUGGAGAGGAUGUUUCUGGCGCGGCGCCUUCCGAGUUCCCUGGAACGGGACGCCGGAGAGGGUGAGAGCCCCGUACGGUUGGACGCCUAGCCUUUGUGAAGCUCCUUCGACGAGUCGAGUAGUUUGGGAAUGCUGCUCAAAAUGGGAGGUAAAUUUCUUCUAAAGCUAAAUACCGGCCAGAGACCGAUAGCGCACAAGUAGAGUGAUCGAAAGAUGAAAAGCACUUUGAAAAGAGGGUCAAACAGUACGUGAAAUUGUUGAAAGGGAAG
rnacentral:rRNA from 2 species